rnacentral:sRNA from 1 species
CAGACGGCAGAAUGCCUCCAAAGGUGACUUCAGAGCUGCUUCGGCAGCUGAGACAAGCCAUGAGGAACUCUGAGUAUGUGACGGAACCGAUCCAGGCCUACAUCAUCCCAUCGGGAGAUGCUCAUCAGAGUGAGUAUAUUGCUCCAUGUGACUGUCGGCGGGCUUUUGUCUCUGGAUUCGAUGGCUCUGCGGGCACAGCCAUCAUCACAGAAGAGCAUGCAGCCAUGUGGACUGACGGGCGCUACUUUCUCCAGGCUGCCAAGCAAAUGGACAGCAACUGGACACUUAUGAAGAUGGGUGGGUACAGGCAUGGCUAGCCCAAACUUAGUUGGCCUGAUCUGGGCAGGGAUCCUAGAGGUCCUUAGGACUCCUGGAUCUUAAUCCUUUUAUGCAGUCAUGGACCCUUUUGAGAAUCCAAGGAAAACUGAGAAAAAAAAAA